CCGCCGCCGCUGCCCGAACCGGGGGCGCCCGCAGGAGGAGGCGAAGUAGUCCCUGGCGACUUCUCCCGGCAGCCGGCUUCCCCCCCCGGGGGGCAACGUGAGCACGGGGUGGGGUUGCAGAGCAGGGCGCCCGGGCUGUGAGCGCGUGCGGGUAGGAGGACCAGAAGCUGCGGCCUCCGAGCGAAUCACUGCAACUCGAAGUCGUGUGCAGCAUAGCAAGUUUCAGGAAAGUAGUUCCCUCCUCCCUUCAUUUCCCAAAUCGUUGUCGAGCCACUGAGCGGGGAAAGGGAGGAGGGAGGCGGAGGGAUAUGCCAGGCGCGGCGCUCGGUGUGCGUGCGCGCGCUCCAAACUCUUGGCACGCUGCGAAAGGGGGCGGGGGUGUGAGCUGCACAGGGAGCUGCUCGCGAGGUUGCAUUGUUGCGGCGCGGUCCUCCCCCGUUACUCGCUUUGGAAUAUCCGGGUUAUUUGAACCAAGACGCUAGAGUGACAGUGUGCUCUAGGAGGACGUCGGAGGCUACUCUGUCCUGCCGUGUGUGUGCGUGUGUGUGUGUGUGUUCUCCUUGCAGAGCAAAGAAUGGAACUGGCAUGAGUUCAUCUUUAGUUGGUGGGGGUUAGAAGAGGGGCUGUACGGAGAGAGCUCCGCCUGCUGUCCUCGGCUUGCAUUGCUGCAGUGUCCUAGCUGCAUGCACACGGGUGUGUGUGUGUGUGUGUGUGUGUGUGUGUGUGCGCGCGCGCGCGCGCGCACGUGCGUGAGAGAGAGAAAGAGUUGGUUUUAAUACCUUGGAUUCUUACUGCUCAAGGGGUAUGCUGUGCAGGGCAUUCAUUUCCGAGAGCUCGAGUGAUUGUUAAUGGAGAACGACUUCCAUUGAAGCCCGGGGUAGGCGUGUUACAUGAAUCUGGCGCAGGCAGAAGCACAGGAAAUCACUCCCGCUGCGAGUGAGGUUGCAUAACUAUAGCGCAGAAGAUGCCUCUGUGGCGUGAGCUGCUCGGGACGGAGGCGGAACGAGCACUGAAUAGGCAGCUGUCACGUUUGCAUUGUCAGAGGACAAUGUAUGCGUUCAUCUCAGAAGGUUUUUGCACGGGAACCUGCUGGGGUUGCGGGAUGGAAUAUCGGGUCUCCUGCACCAGAGGACUCUAAUGAUGGAGUAUGGGGUCUCCUGCACCAGAGGACCCCAAGCCCCUCGCUCCGCAAUUCUCUUCUCUCUCCUCUACCUAGAAAGCCAGCCUCUGCAUGGUCCGGCCUGGGGGAAGGAGUCGCAAGCGCUCCAGGUUUUCUGAUGCAUCUCCCUAGGUAAUCGGUCUAGCUCAGUGCGCAAUGUUUUUCCUCUUCAUUCUCAGGUUUGUGCGACCUGCUAAUGAAGGUUGCUGCUCCUGCCACCUUGAGGGGGAGACUAAUUCCUGAGGAAGAAGAGAGUGGGAGAACCUCCCGCACAAGUUGGCACUCGUCUUCUGCCAUCCGUCUCCGGGAAGUUUCGGGAUUGCUGUUCUCAGGAGCACGUGCACUAACUAGUCUGUUAGCAGUGUUUUGAACAUAAUCUAUUGUAAGCUUUUGGAGACCAGUAAAAAGGCUGUUGCAGUGGUCUACAGAAGAGAACAAGUUGGGCACUGGUCAGAUGCUGGAGAGAAGAAGAUGGAUACAAAUAUAUGUAGGUGCAGAAUCCUCAAGGCUGCUUUAGCUCCUGGGAGGCCUGCGUUCCGGAAACUUGCAACUGGCUGGGGAGACAGAAAACCAAAAGGAAACAUUUAGAAAAUACAAGAUGUUAUAUGAAUACAUGCCAUGGCAAGCAAUAAAAAUAACUGCUGUUGCUUCCUCCAACAACACUAAUCUUAUUAGCGUUCUCAAAUACGUCCAUUUGGGAAUCCUGUGAUAAUAGCUUUAAUAUCUUUGUAUGAUAAAAUCUAAAAUGCACGCCACAUUGAAAAUUUCUGUUUAAAAUUAAUUUUAAACUUCAGUUCCGGUGACAUCUGGCCAGUUCUUACCUCACCAGAAAGAGAAAUUUUCAUUCUCUGUAAAGUUUAAAAUCCUAAGAGGACGCCGGCUUGUUUUCCUACUAGAGACCGCCACCCUCAGCGCCAAAGCUCUUUAUCGGGAAGCCCUAAAACACUUCACACCCUUAUCGUCUUCUGGGUCUUAGCCAAUCUUUGUUUAUUCCAGGUUUCCUUCCUUUGUUGGAUAUGCCAGUCUUCCUUCUGGGUCCCCUGCCAAACUGUGCCAAGGACUUUGAACAGUCUCUCUUUACUUGCCUUAUUGUCUUGGCUUAUUUUAAGUACAACUCCUGGUAUUUUCCAUAACGCCUUUUAGAAUUGAUGGGGGUGGGGGGGAAGAUUGCUUUCUAUGAUCCUAGAGCAUUUGGUCUAGUCUACAUCUUAGAAAUGCAGUUAUUCUUUUAUGUUUUAUUUUUUAAUUUGUAGUUAUUCUUGAUAUAUUCCAUGACACUAUUCUUAACUAUGUAUUUGCUUAAUGUCUAUAGUUUUGCAUUGUUCCCAAGUGUUUAUAGACCCCAAAUAUUCAUAUGUAUCAAAUUAUUUUUGUAUAAUAACUCGUAAAGUGAGAUAUCUGAUCGGUGCUUAUCAAAUAUGAUUUUAUAUGGUAAGAGUAAUUUAUUACUCCAAAAUGACAACUUUUAAUUUCUGUUUUCAAUGUAUGUCUCUGGAGCUCGUAUCUGUUCAAAUGUAUAAAUGACAUUAGAGAUUUUGCCAAGCUUUCAUUCAAAUCCAUAAAUUCUAACUAUGUGUGAUUGUAGUUUCUUUUCUUUUCGUAUAUCUGCAAUGUCAAAUUUCAGUGGAAAUCACUUGAAAUGUAGCUUAUUUAAUUCUAAUAAUAAUUAUUUCUUGUUUGUGUUUUUUUAUCACCUUCA